rnacentral:rRNA from 1 species
CCUACGGGGGGCAGCAGUGGGGAAUAUUGGUCAAUGGGCGAGAGCCUGAACCAGCCAAGUAGCGUGCAGGAUGACGGCCCUAUGGGUUGUAAACUGCUUUUAUGCGGGGAUAAAGUGCUCCACGUGUGGGGCAUUGCAGGUACCGCACGAAUAAGGACCGGCUAAUUCCGUGCCAGCAGCCGCGGUAAUACGGAAGGUCCAGGCGUUAUCCGGAUUUAUUGGGUUUAAAGGGAGCGUAGGCCGAUGGCCAAGCGUGUUGUGAAAUGUGGACGCUCAACGUCCGACUUGCAGCGCGAACUGGCCGUCUUGAGUGCGCGCAACGUUGGCGGAAUUCGUCGUGUAGCGGUGAAAUGCUUAGAUAUGACGAAGAACUCCGAUUGCGAAGGCAGCUGACGGGAGCGCAACUGACGCUGAAGCUCGAAGGUGCGGGUAGCGAACAGGAUUAGAUACCCUGGUAGUC